rnacentral:rRNA from 1 species
GAUGAACGCUGGCGGCGUGCCUAAUACAUGCAAGUCGAGCGAACAGACGAGGAGCUUGCUCCUCUGACGUUAGCGGCGGACGGGUGAGUAACACGUGGAUAACCUACCUAUAAGACUGGGAUAACUUCGGGAAACCGGAGCUAAUACCGGAUAAUAUAUUGAACCGCAUGGUUCAAUAGUGAAAGACGGUUUUGCUGUCACUUAUAGAUGGAUCCGCGCCGCAUUAGCUAGUUGGUAAGGUAACGGCUUACCAAGGCGACGAUGCGUAGCCGACCUGAGAGGGUGAUCGGCCACACUGAAACUGAGACACGGUCCAGACCCCUGCGGGGGGCAGGAGUAGGGAAUCUUCCGAAGUGGGCAAAAGCCUGAGGGAGCAACGCCGCGUGGGUGAAGAGGGUCUGCGGUUCGAAAAACUCUGUUUUGGGAAAAAACAAAUGUGAAAGUAACUAUGCACGUCUUGACGGAACCAAAUAAAAAAACCCCGGCAAACUACGU